AUUGAACGCUGGCGGCAUGCCUUACACAUGCAAGUCGAACGGCAGCACGGGUGCUUGCACCUGGUGGCGAGUGGCGAACGGGUGAGUAAUACAUCGGAACAUGUCCUGUAGUGGGGGAUAGCCCGGCGAAAGCCGGAUUAAUACCGCAUACGAUCUACGGAUGAAAGCGGGGGACCUUCGGGCCUCGCGCUAUAGGGUUGGCCGAUGGCUGAUUAGCUAGUUGGUGGGGUAAAGGCCAACCAAGGCGACGACCAGUAGCUGGUCUGGGAGGACGACCAGCCACACUGGGACUGAGAAACGGCCCAGACUCCUACGGGAGGCAGAAGUGGGGAAUUUUGGACAAUGGGCGAAAGCCUGAUCCAGCAAUGCCGCGUGUGUGAAGAAGGCCUUCGGGUUGUAAAGCACUUUUGUCCGGAAAGAAAUCCUUGGCCCUAAUACGGUCGGGGGAUGACGGUACCGGAAGAAUAAGCACCGGCUAACUACGU
rnacentral:rRNA from 1 species